GAUGAACGCUGGCGGCGUGCCUAAUACAUGCAAGUCGAGCGAACAGACGAGGAGCUUGCUCCUCUGACGUUAGCGGCGGGCGGGUGAGUAACACGUGGAUAACCUACCUAUAAGACUGGGAUAACUUCGGGAAACCGGAGCUAAUACCGGAUAAUAUAUUGAACCGCAUGGUUCAAUAGUGAAAGACGGUUUUGCUGUCACUUAUAGAUGGAUCCGCGCCGCAUUAGCUAGUUGGUAAGGUAACGGCUUACCAAGGCAACGAUGCGUAGCCGACCUGAGAGGGUGAGCGGCCACACUGGAACUGAGACACGGUCCAGACUCCUACGGGAGGCAGCAGUAGGGAAUCUUCCGCAAUGGGCGAAAGCCUGACGGAGCAACGCCGCGUGAGUGAUGAAGGUCUUCGGAUCGUAAAACUCUGUUAUUAGGGAAGAACAAAUGUGUAAGUAACUAUGCACGUCUUGACGGUACCUAAUCAGAAAGCCACGGCUAACUACGUG
rnacentral:rRNA from 1 species